UGACGAGGCACUACGGUGCUGAAGCAACAAAUGCCCUGCUUCCAGGAAAAGCCUCUAAGCAUCAGGUAACAUCAAAUCGUACCCCAAACCGACACAGGUGGUCAGGUAGAGAAUACCAAGGCGCUUGAGAGAACUCGGGUGAAGGAACUAGGCAAAAUGGUGCCGUAACUUCGGGAGAAGGCACGCUGAUACGUAGGUGAAGUCCCUUGCGGAUGGAGCUGAAAUCAGUCGAAGAUACCAGCUGGCUGCAACUGUUUAUUAAAAACACAGCACUGUGCAAACACGAAAGUGGACGUAUACGGUGUGACGCCUGCCCGGUGCCGGAAGGUUAAUUGAUGGGGUUAGCGGUAACGCGAAGCUCUUGAUCGAAGCCCCGGUAAACGGCGGCCGUAACUAUAACGGUCCUAAGGUAGCGAAAUUCCUUGUCGGGUAAGUUCCGACCUGCACGAAUGGCGUAAUGAUGGCCAGGCUGUCUCCACCCGAGACUCAGUGAAAUUGAACUCGCUGUGAAGAUGCAGUGUACCCGCGGCAAGACGGAAAGACCCCGUGAACCUUUACUAUAGCUUGACACUGAACAUUGAGCCUUGAUGUGUAGGAUAGGUGGGAGGCUUUGAAGUGUGGACGCCAGUCUGCAUGGAGCCGACCUUGAAAUACCACCCUUUAAUGUUUGAUGUUCUAACGUUGGCCCCUAAUCGGGGUUGCGGACAGUGUCUGGUGGGUAGUUUGACUGGGGCGGUCUCCUCCUAAAGAGUAACGGAGGAGCACGAAGGUUGGCUAAUCCUGGUCGGACAUCAGGAGGUUAGUGCAAUGGCAUAAGCCAGCUUGACUGCGAGCGUGACGGCGCGAGCAGGUGCGAAAGCAGGUCAUAGUGAUCCGGUGGUUCUGAAUGGAAGGGCCAUCGCUCAACGGAUAAAAGGUACUCCGGGGAUAACAGGCUGAUACCGCCCAAGAGUUCAUAUCGACGGCGGUGUUUGGCACCUCGAUGUCGGCUCAUCACAUCCUGGGGCUGAAGUAGGUCCCAAGGGUAUGGCUGUUCGCCAUUUAAAGUGGUACGCGAGCUGGGUUUAGAACGUCGUGAGACAGUUCGGUCCCUAUCUGCCGUGGGCGCUGGAGAACUGAGGGGGGCUGCUCCUAGUACGAGAGGACCGGAGUGGACGCAUCACUGGUGUUCGGGUUGUCAUGCCAAUGGCACUGCCCGGUAGCUAAAUGCGGAAGAGAUAAGUGCUGAAAGCAUCUAAGCACGAAACUUGCCCCGAGAUGAGUUCUCCCUGACUCCUUGAGAGUCCUGAAGGAACGUUGAAGACGACGACGUUGAUAGGCCGGGUGUGUAAGCGCAGCGAUGCGUUGAGCUAACCGGUACUAAUGAACCGUGAGGCUUAACCUU
rnacentral:rRNA from 1 species